GACGAACGCUGGCGGCGCGCUUAACACAUGCAAGUCGAGCGAGAACCAAGCCUUCGGGCUUGGGGACAGCGGCGAACGGGUGAGUAACACGUGGGUAAUCAACCCUUGACACUGGGAUAGCCCGGGGAAACCCGGAUUAAUACCGGAUAUCCCAUCUGGCUUUCGAGCCGGCUGGAAAAGGUAGCUUCGGCCUCCGGUCAAGGACGAGCCCGCGGCGGAUUAGCUUGUUGGCGGGGUAAAAGACCCACCAAGGCGACGANCCGUAGCUGGUCUGAGAGGACGAUCAGCCACACUGGGACUGAGACACGGCCCAGACUCCUACGGGAGGCAGCAGUGGGGAAUCUUGCGCAAUGGGCGAAAGCCUGACGCAGCGACGCCGCGUGA
rnacentral:rRNA from 1 species